GACAAUUGGUGUACUCUCAUAACAAAAUUUACUACAUGAUUUAUUUUUUUAAGUGCUAAACAGAUGGUUUCACAUUAUUAUUAAAAUUAAUGUUUUAACUCCGUAUAUUUUACAUCUUUCAGAAUCCGAAUCUUGAACUGCCUAUGUUAUUAUCCUACAAGCAUAUUGACAGUGGUUACAGAUAAAAGAGAAAGCAUGAAGAAACAACUUCAAAAAGUUAUCAUCUCAGGAUACUUGAUAUGCAACUAACUAAACCACUAUCUUAUGUCUGAGGUUCAGAAUAAAUGUCCAGUAAAAUACCAAAUGACUCUCUUAAGCAUUUAUAAUUAUUAUAAGUAGCCAUUAUGGCCAAAGCUCUAAGUUAUGAAUUAUAUGAAAGUUGAAAGCAAGAAUAUAUAGAAUUUCUGGCUUUAGAUAGAAUAACUAUCAAAUGGGUGCUUUUUUAACCCAUGAACUCUGUGAAUGGAUUUAAAUAUGAUAGAAUAAAGUAGAAGUCAUGCAAUGGGAAUGAACAGAUUUUGCUAAACUUACUUUUUUGCCUGGCAAAAGAAAUAUGCUGUUUGGAUCACAUUUCUUGUUCCUACUGAAUGAUGAUCUUAAAUUUUUUCCACAUAUGAAAGGAAUACUUGAAAAUAUAAAAGAACUAAAUCAAUGCAUCAGAUAGUAGGUAAUCCUUUCUGUUUACCUACAUGCUGAUUAUCCUUGCCAAAAAGUGCAUUGAAAGGUGGAAUGUUAACCCUGGGUAUUUUUGCAAAAAUUGGAGAAGAAGGAAGAAUAGCUUAUUUAAAACUGUUAACAGUUUCU
rnacentral:lncRNA from 1 species